UUUGUAUCUACAGUAUCUGCUUUUGUUUUGUUUUUUUUUUCUAAUUAAUUUCCUGUUUUCAUUUCAUUCAGGCUGCAUUAAUGUUGGGUGUCAAAAGCCUCUAUGAUCUGGUCUUAGAAGAAUUUGUUCGCAUCUGUUGUGGUUUGACUUCUAAACAGCUUUCAAAGGCCUUCAAAUUGGACUCUGAACCUCAUCCUGAGAGAAUCAGCAGUUGCAUUUGGGCUUUUGAAAUAAUACUUAAAUUGGACGCAACUGAAUAAGGUCUUAUUGAAGAAUAUGAUUCUCCUACAAAUAUUGUUAGAAGAUAAAUCAUCUUCCUUUUCCCAGCUGGUUGCAGAGUACAACACUACAACAUGAGGUCGAUCAUAUAGUUGUCAAUUAGCUGAUGCCAUCUUGCCAUGUAAUCGUUUUUAUCCGAAUUACCUUGCACAAGAAGAAAAUGUACGCUUGGUACAUAAUUCAGUCCAACUUAUGAGUAAAAAUAUUUGUUGAGGUUGUUAAGAUCAA